GUACAGAGUACUUCAUUAUGCGCACGAACAGAAAUGCUUAAAUGGAUGAAGCAGCUAUUUAUGUAUGAUAGGAGCUAAGUGGGACAUUAAAUUAAUGCCAAACAAACCUUAUGGAUCCCAGAAGGUGAACCUAUAAUCAAGUCUUUACUGGGGGCUUCUUGGCAAGGCUAUCUCCAGCCACUGUUCCUGGCCUCAUAUAAGGUGUUCUAGAAAGGGGUUCCUCCAGCCGUGCAUCAGGACAAGGAACCAAGUGCUCCAGAGAGCCAAGUGAAUUGUUACCUGUCACAGCAUCCCCAUGUUCAUCUCUUAAUACUUGUGGGUGUGAUACAAACCACCUAAAAGAGAUUCACUGCCUCUUUUACAGCCCAGACUAGACAGUUUCCUGUGUUCCAUCAGUGCAGUUCUACUGCUGCACAUUUUGGUUUGGUAAGUGCUAAGACAAAGAUUCUUUCCUAGUGAUUUUACAAUGCUUGCUGAUCUAUAGAGACACAAUAGAGUAAACAACAGUUAACAAAUUGCUCUAAUAGACAGCACAGUCCCUUAGGAAACAAUCAUAACAUCGACACUAAAGUUGAGAUAUUCUCUCUCCAGGGCACCAUUAACAGUAAUUUUAUCGCCGAGUGUGUAUUUAAUUCUGCAACACCAGUCCCAGGCUGGGAGGUUCUCCAGGUCAGAGGUUAAUAAUAGGCAAAACCACUUCACUGUUAUGUUCAUAGGCUAUUGAAAACAAAGAGGAAACCAAUCUGCCUUAAACUUCCAGCUGGAAGUCCCAGUAAUAAAAUUACUUACACAUAGCAAAAUCAAACUGCGAAUGUAAGUGAGCAAUGCAUUAAGUUUUUCUUAAAUGGCAUGCAGAAGGACAGAUUAUUUCAUUUUACUGUGGUUUAUUAUUAUUAUUUUAUUUUAAUUAAUAGUUUCCUUUACUUUUAGGCUGAUUUUCUCCUGAGUUAGCCAGAAAAGCUGUAAUUUUGAGAAGGACACAGUGUCACUGUAGACAGUAAGCUGAAGAGUCGGAUGCUAUUUGAAGACAAAUGUAACACUUGGGAGACUUAAACAAUCACAAGGAAUUGAGGAAGAACUGUUUCUUCAUAUUUUUGUGACUUUACUGGAAAGUCAUGUGUCAAUAUAUGUUGAAAAGGAUGUUAAAAAUAAGAAAGGUGUACAUAAAAAGAAUUCUGAAACAAACAAAAAAAAGUUAGUGAAAAUACAUCAAGGGCAAGACACAAGAGAAGCUCUAUCUAUUGACUCAGUUUAGACGGAGAAGUCACCUGACUGCAGGUACCUACAGGCAAAUGGUAUUUCUGACAAUUAAGAGCUAUCUAAUUUAGGAGGAAGGGAUGUAUAACUAGCUGGAGCCAAGAAUUCCAUUCUAUGUCACUUCCAUCCCCUCCCCCCAGCAACAACAAAAGUUUACGAUGUGAGUUUUAAACAGUUGGAGCAAUUUUUAUCCUUCUGAAAGCUAUAAUACACUACAUCUCAUACUGAGUCUACAUAGUGUACAAUAUUACAAUUAAUAUCAAUUUUUAAAUUUAAGAAUUUGUAAAUCAACCAAGUAGAAUCUUUGCCCUAGUCAUAUUUAUUAUCAUUUAAUUACAGUUCUCUUUUGUCUUUUUCUCUGAAACUUUUCUACAGAUUCCCAAAAUAGAGUAUUUCACAUCAUAAUAAUUAAGCUUGAACCAAAUAGAAACUGUUCAGCUCAAGACUCUAAAUUGUCAUGAGGAAAAAUUAAAUAAACAUCAUUUUAGCUUCUGUGUUAUGACUUAAUACAUCAAUGAUCUAGAAUAAAAAGUGUUAAUGCCUGUUAUAGCCCUUAAGCUAUAAAAAUAUGUGGUUCUGUCUUGAUCAUGCUUGAUAUGCCGUGUCUUGACUAGGUUUUAUUCUAUUCUGUUUUUACAGGUUAGCAGGACUUUAAUCAAGAAAAAAAAAUCUAAUGAGCAGCAAUUUGAAAUACAGCAUUUGGAAAGGUCAAAAUGGUACAUUACAUCCCUAUUAUCCAAAAGAACAGAUGAGUUUAAUAUCCUGACAGCAUUUUCCUGUGAAGAAGAUAUUAAACAAGAACUGAAAAUGGCACAAGGUUCCCUCUUCCUUUCUUUUGACAAAGACUGUAACAAGAUGAUGAAAUUGUACAGAAUAAAUCUCAUCCUGCUUUAAUGUUCAGAUUGGGGAUCCUGCCUAGAUUUCAAAAAUCUAAGCUAAUAAAAGAGACAAAACAUAUGUUAUUUGUUUCAGGUAUAUCCACAUGAAGCAGAAGACUUUUACUAUACAUUUUCCUACUUACAUGACCCAGUUUCCAUCAAUAUUUUCUAGAUUUAAAAAUAGGAAUAAUUGGUAACAGAAGGUACAUAAUGCAUCUAAUUUCAAGAAGUAAAGCAUUGAACUGCAACAGAUAAUGCACUGCAUCAAAACAGCUUAAAAUGUAAAUUUUUCAGCUUCCAUAUGAAAGACUGCAGAAUACAAAGAAUAAAUUCCAACACACAAUGCACUGUAUGUAUUCUGCUUUGGUGAGUCCUUGGCAGUGUGGAACUGUUUGAAGGCAAAGGAAUUUGCACUAUAUCCCGUUGAUUGUUAGCAAUUCAAUUAAUAUAUGGAACUGUCACGAUUUGUUGUCUUAAAUCUUGUUAAAUUGGCCCUCGUGUUAAAUCUUAUUAUUACAACCAAAAAAUGCUGUGCUUAAAAAUCAAAACAUGAGUAUACAGCACACACCUUUAUUAAUAUGACAUGCACUUGUAUUCAUUCCACAUGAGAUAUGAGAAGUCUGCUGUUACAUAAGAGCAUAACAAGUUAUAUAAUAAAGACAUUCAUGAUUAUUAAAGAAAAACAAAUUAUAUGAUUCCAAAAGAUACACAUCUUCAAGUAUAACUGGCUGAAGUAGACGUACAUGGCUUUGAAUAAGAACUCGUAAGUAGAAAUCAUACAGAACCUCUUUUUUUCUUCACCAUCUAGAGAAUACAUCUGAAAAAAUAUCUCUGUGGUGCUUUACGUGCAGUACCUUGCUGAGAAAACCCAUUCUGCUUUGGCCAAGAGAGAGAAAAUGAACAUGCC
ensembl:lncRNA